AUGGGGAACUGCGCGGCGUCGCGGCACGCCGGGGAGUCGUGGGCCGACGACGGCGACUGGGAGGAGGCGUCGUCCACGUCGGAAGACGACCGCCACCGACGCCACGACGGGUCGGAGGAGCACCUGUCGGAGGUGACGAUCAGGAUCACCAAGAGGCAGCUGCACGAGCUGAUGGAGAGGAAGACGCCCGGCGGGCGGGGUAGCAGCACCCGGCAGCUGCUGGCAGACAUCAUGGACUCCGGGGAGGUGCACCACCAUGACGUGCACCGGGAGGAGCACUGGAGGCCCGCGCUGCAGAGCAUUCCGGAGGCCGUCGAGUCGUGA
rnacentral:rRNA from 1 species